GCAUUUAAAAAAAAAAAGAAAAAACCACCAAAUAUAACAUGUAAGUGGCAUGACACUCCAUUCUCCUGUAAAUAAAACAACUUUCUAAUUUUCACUCCACCUAUUUAUUAUUUAUUAAUAGUUACUUUAAAAUGUUAACAAGUAGAAUGACAUAUAUUCAUUAAAAUAUCAAAAUGAAAUAUAUCAAUCCAUUAUCUGUUUCAGGAGUCUGGCCCAGUGACUUGCCAACAGAAGUGCUUAUAUUAGACCUGAUGAUUCAUUAUCUGACAGUUCUUUACACAGGUUUAAUCUACAUAGGCACUUAAAUCAUAAUGAAUAUGGUUGACGUUUCAAAUGAAAGAAGGUCCCAGCAUGGAGCUAAUAUUUAACUGGAGCCCAUUAGUACAUGAUGAAAAUGUUUCUGAGCAAUGCACUGAGGAUGGGCAAUGGUAAUAGUAACAAUAUCCACAGAAUAGUCAAGUAUCUAUUUGUCCCCUGCUUCUACUGCCCUAUUCCUAAUAGUAUGAUUCCAUGUUUUGUAGGCUCAUGGUAAUCUGCUGAAUGACUGACUGAUAUAAUAGUAAGAGGUGAUACAUGAACUGUGAAUCAAAGGAAAUAUGUCAAAUCAUUAUGUUCCAAAGAUAUAUGCCCCACAAGGGUUGUAGCCCAAGGAACCUAAAAUAUUAGCAGUUUUUUCUCAAUCUAUUACAGAAUACCCAAAAUCCUUCUGGGUGAAUAGAUUACUUAAAGGUCAGGCAUAGGGAGGGGGAAGACCAAAUUCAAACCACUUGAGAAGAAAUGUCAUUCUGGAGAGAAGAAUAGAAGGAAGCAAAAGCAAUGGAGAGUGAAUAAUCAAUUAGCCAGGCCCAGUCAGGUAAAAAAAAUACACAUGUAAGAUGAGAGAAAGGGAAAGAUCCAUACUGAAAGGAAAUAAACAAGUCAUGGACCAAGACAUCCAGACUACAACAUCCUUAGAAAGAGGAUGAACUUUGCCUGCUAAAAGGCACUGAAGUGUUAGCAUAUACUGAAGAUCUAUGCCUUCCAUGUUGCUAUUAUCAGCCUAUGAAGUACAGCAAAGGCACCUGAUGACUUUAAUUUACUUUUCCAACCUAGUUUUGCCAGAAAACUCAUGAUGAAGAGAAGCACUUCAGCAUCACUCUCACAUCAGGCAACUGAGGCAGAAGAAGAUUGACUUGCUCAAGUUCAAACAAGGAACUGAACUGGCAGAACAAGAAACUGAACUGAGAUCUCCUGAGUCCUAGUCAGUUGCUUUAACAUGAGAACAUCCUUUCUUCCUUUGGGUGCACCAGAAGGAAAAAAGAACCAAGAGGUGUUGCACUCCCUGGAAACUGCUCUGCUAGCCUGUCGUAAAGCAGCAGAUCUGAUGAUUCACCUGUGACAUAACUACUUUCUCUCUCAUGCCAUUUUCCCAAUAUAUUUGGCCUUCUUUAGGGGAGGAGGGCUUAGAAUUCAUUGAAGGCUGCAGCAAGAUACAAAAGAAAUGCUAGACUGGAAAAGAUCUACCAUGUUUCAACAAAAAUUCCUUUCAGGCCUAGGGCACAAAGAAGAUAA